GGAUUCAAAUGUUUGAACUCAAACAAUGUUAGUUUCGCUUCUUGGUAAAGAAAGCCACCGAAAGGGAAAUUGGUUUGUUUUAAUCACAAGCCGUCAAGGAUUUGUGAAGACUCACUAUUCACUAUUCACGUAGAUGGGGAAAGAAAGAAUUUUGUCAAUAUAAUUUUGUUUGGAGCUGUUUUGUAACUGCAACCCUGCCGACUGGUAGUUCAAAGUACCAGAAUACAAGCACUGUGCUUUAUUUAUCACCGUCAUUUGUAUUUCGAACUGUUUCAUCCACAAAUGUAAUUUCAUUGACAAGUUUCACAUAUGGUGACAAUCAUAAGAGGAUGGUUUUAAACAGCAGCUACAGUAUUUUGAAAUCGUCGACUUUAAAUGAUAUCAUUUUGACAACCAACCAAAUUUCUCCAAUUGUUACCCUUACGCUGACAUCUUAUACUCCUAAUUCAACAUCAAUAUUCCUCACUACUCCCACCAGAAAACCAACCCAAAGCAAUACAAGAAAACAACCCUACAAACAAAAAUUGCUCUGAUUGUUGGCGUUUUAUUGGGAAUGCUAUUUUUGUCGAUAUGUCUGAUUACAUUUCAUAAAAAAGAAACAAGACAAAAAUGUCUGAAGCUAAUGUGCAAGUUUUGUACUCAGAAUAAAAGUCAACAAUACAACAUUGUUCCAGUUUAUGUCUAUGAUGAUAAUGAACAAGAUAUCAGAGAGUUGCAAGAUGAUAGUGAUCUGCCCUUGGUAUAAAGUAGAUCAAAUCUUUAAAAUCUAUCAAUGAUUUGUAUCCAUAUAAACUGAUGAAGUUGGAAAUGUUUGGCUUAGCAUAACAUGACAACAACAUGGAAACAAAAAAAUAUUAUUACAAACAAUCAUACGUACAUUUAUUUUCAUUCAAUGGAAAUUGUAAAUAGUUGUUGAAAACUAUGUAAUACAUAAUUUGUUAAAUAUCCUUUUAAAUAAUGAAAAAUUCAUUUUUAAAUGGUGCUAAUUCUACCCAAAAUGUAAUUCUAACUUAAAGUAAUUCCUAUUCAUUGAUUCUAAAAUUCAUUUACUUUACAAUACAUAACAUUCGAGAA